GAUGAACGCUGGCGGCGUGCCUAAUACAUGCCAGUCGAGCGAACUGACGAGAAGCUUGCUUCUCUGAUGUUAGCGGCGGACGGGUGAGUAACACGUGGAUAACCUACCUAUAAGACUGGGAUAACUUCGGGAAACCGUAGCUAAUACCGGAUAAUAUUUUGAACCGCAUGGUUCAAAAGUGAAAGACGGUCUUGCUGUCACUUAUAGAUGGAUCCGCGCUGCAUUAGCUAGUUGGUAAGGUAACGGCUUACCAAGGCAACGAUGCAUAGCCGACCUGAGAGGGUGAUCGGCCACACUGGAACUGAGACACGGUCCAGACUCCUACGGGAGGCAGCAGUAGGGAAUCUUCCGCAAUGGGCGAAAGCCUGACGGAGCAACGCCGCGUGAGUGAUGAAGGUCUUCGGAUCGUAAAACUCUGUUAUUAGGGAAGAACAUAUGUGUAAGUAACUGUGCACAUCUUGACGGUACCUAAUCAGAAAGCCACGGCUAACUACGUG
rnacentral:rRNA from 1 species